GAUGAAGAACGUAGCGAAAUGCGAUAAGUAGUGUGAAUUGCAGAAUUCAGUGAAUCAUCGAAUCUUUGAACGCACAUUGCGCCCCUUGGUAUCCCGAGGGGCAUGCCUGUUCGAGCGUCAUUUCACCACUCAAGCCUGGCUUGGUGUUGGGCGACGUCCUCUUUGGGUACGCGCCUCGAAACGCUCGGCGGCGUGGCACCGGCUUUAAGCGUAGCAGAAUCUUUCGCUUUGGAAGUCGGGGCCCCGUCUGCCGGAAGACCUGCUCGCAAGGUUGACCUCGGAUCAGGCAGGGAUACCCGCUGAACUUAAGCAUAUCAAUAAGCGGAGGA
rnacentral:misc_RNA from 1 species